rnacentral:rRNA from 1 species
AUUGAACGCUGGCGGCAGGCCUAACACAUGCAAGUCGAGCGGCAGCGGGUCCUUCGGGAUUCCGGCGAGCGGCGGACGGGUGAGGAAUACAUCGGAAUCUGCCCGGUCGUGGGGGAUAACCUAGGGAAACUUAGGCUAAUACCGCAUACGACCUACGGGUGAAAGCGGGGGAUCGCAAGACCUCGCGCGACAGGAUGAGCCGAUGUCCGAUUAGCUAGUUGGCGGGGUAAAGGCCCACCAAGGCGACGAUCGGUAGCUGGUCUGAGAGGAUGAUCAGCCACACUGGGACUGAGACACGGCCCAGACUCCUACGGGAGGCAGCAGUGGGGAAUAUUGGACAAUGGGCGCAAGCCUGAUCCAGCCAUGCCGCGUGGGUGAAGAAGGCCUUCGGGUUGUAAAGCCCUUUUGUCCGGGAAGAAAUCGUCUGGGCUAAUACCCCGGGCGGAUGACGGUACCGGAAGAAUAAGCACCGGCUAACUUCGUG